CUUGUCUCCUAAAUAGAGACUGGUAUGAACGGCUAAAUGAGGAUUAAACUGUCUCUUGUAAUUAACCUAUGAAACUGAUCUUGUAGUACAAAAGCUACAAUAUAAACACUAGACGAGAAGACCCUGUGGAGCUUUAAAACCAAAACCAAAUACAUGCCCCCUUGGUUUUUAGUUGGGGCAACUUCGGAGCAUAAACAAACCUCCGACAAACCACAAGUCAAGACAAACAAGUCAAAACCAGCACUUGACCCAAUAGUCUAACCUAGACCAUUUGACCAAUGAACCAAGUUACCCCAGGGAUAACAGCGCUAUCCUCUUUUAGAGUCCCUAUCGACAAGAGGGCUUACGACCUCGAUGUUGGAUCAGGACACCCCAAUAAUGCAGCCGUUAUUAAAGGUUCGUUUGUU
rnacentral:rRNA from 1 species